UUUGCGAUUUUUCGGUCAUAGUUCUGCUAUGAAAAUAACCAAAAACUCACAAUUAGGUUCUCGAAGCAUCGAGCGAAUUGUAUUUACAGUAACCCAUUGUUCUAUCAGUACGGUCAGCGUGUGAUGUGUUUCGUACACUUGAUUUGAUUUAGUCUAAAAGUGUACGAGCUGAUAUGCACAUGGUCAUGACAAAGGUGCACUGAUGAGUCGUAAACGACGAAAUCAGCUUGUUUUUUGUUUAUGUGAUGGAAAUACGUUCUGAUAAAGAGUGAAGUGAAAUAGUUAAAUUCAAUUUUCAUUUGUUUUAGAGAAUGUUGUGUUUUAUUUUACGAUGAAGGCCUGUUUCGGGCAGUAAUCCGUGGAUGAUGCAGCGGUUGAAGAAAUUUAUUUUUCUUCGAGCGCGAAUGUAUCGAACCAAAAUUGAUUUUGAAAAGAAGUUUCUUUUCACAUUUAAUUUUUCCUUUAAAUGAUUCCGAGUUGUGUGCUCUAAAACACGGAGGUAUGGUUAGCCUUUCGAUAUGCAAAAUAAUUUCUAACGUAAAUAUCAUCUUAGAUGAUCGUUUGAAUGUAUAUUUGUUUGCGAUUUUUCGGUCAUAGUUCUGCUAUGAAAAUAACCAAAAACUCACAAUUAGGUUCUCGAAGCAUCGAGCGAAUUGUAUUUACAGUAACCCAUUGUUCUAUCAGUACGGUCAGCGUGUGAUGUGUUUCGUACACUUGAUUUGAUUUAGUCUAAAAGUGUACGAGCUGAUAUGCACAUGGUCAUGACAAAGGUGCACUGAUGAGUCGUAAACGACGAAAUCAGCUUGUUUUUUGUUUAUGUGAUGGAAAUACGUUCUGAUAAAGAGUGAAGUGAAAUAGUUAAAUUCAAUUUUCAUUUGUUUUAGAGAAUGUUGUGUUUUAUUUUACGAUGAAGGCCUGUUUCGGGCAGUAAUCCGUGGAUGAUGCAGCGGUUGAAGAAAUUUAUUUUUCUUCGAGCGCGAAUGUAUCGAACCAAAAUUGAUUUUGAAAAGAAGUUUCUUUUCACAUUUAAUUUUUCCUUUAAAUGAUUCCGAGUUGUGUGCUCUAAAACACGGAGGUAUGGUUAGCCUUUCGAUAUGCAAAAUAAUUUCUAACGUAAAUAUCAUCUUAGAUGAUCGUUUGAAUGUAUAUUUGUUUGCGAUUUUUCGGUCAUAGUUCUGCUAUGAAAAUAACCAAAAACUCACAAUUAGGUUCUCGAAGCAUCGAGCGAAUUGUAUUUACAGUAACCCAUUGUUCUAUCAGUACGGUCAGCGUGUGAUGUGUUUCGUACACUUGAUUUGAUUUAGUCUAAAAGUGUACGAGCUGAUAUGCACAUGGUCAUGACAAAGGUGCACUGAUGAGUCGUAAACGACGAAAUCAGCUUGUUUUUUGUUUAUCGUGCGAAAAAAAAAACGAUUUUGUA